rnacentral:rRNA from 1 species
AUUGAACGCUGGCGGCAGGCCUAACACAUGCAAGUCGAACGAGUGGCGGACGGGUGAGUACUGUCUGGGAAACUGCCUGAUGGAGGGGGAUAACUACUGGAAACGGUAGCUAAUACCGCAUACCAUCGGAUGUGCCCAGAUGGGAUUAGCUAGUAGUUGGGGUAAAGGCUCACCUAGGCGACGAUCCCUAGCUGGUCUGAGAGGAUGACCAGACACACUGGAACGGAGACACGGGCCAGACUCCUACGGGAGGCAGCAGUGGGGAAUAUUGCACAAUGGGCGCAAGCCUGAUGCAGCCAUGCCGCGUGUGUGAAGAAGGCCUUCGGGUUGUAAAGUACUUUCAGCGAGGAGGAGUUACUCGCAGAAGAAGCACCUGCUAACUCCGUGCCAGCAGCCGCGGGAAUUC